rnacentral:rRNA from 1 species
GUGGGGAAUUUUGGACAAUGGGCGAAAGCCUGAUCCAGCCAUGUCGCGUGCAGGAUGAAGGCCUUCGGGUUGUAAACUGCUUUUGUACGGAACGAAAAGACUCCUUCUAAUAAAGGGGGUCCAUGACGGUACCGUAAGAAUAAGCACCGGCUAACUACGUGCCAGCAGCCGCGGUAAUACGUAGGGUGCAAGCGUUAAUCGGAAUUACUGGGCGUAAAGCGUGCGCAGGCGGUUUUGUAAGAUCGAUGUGAAAUCCCCGGGCUCAACCUGGGAACUGCAUUGGUGACUGCAAGGCUGGAGUGCGGCAGAGGGGGAUGGAAUUCCGCGUGUAGCAGUGAAAUGCGUAGAUAUGCGGAGGAACACCGAUGGCGAAGGCAAUCCCCUGGGCCUGCACUGACGCUCAUGCACGAAAGCGUGGGGAGCAAAUGGGAUUAGAUACCCUGGUAGUCC